rnacentral:rRNA from 1 species
AAAAGCUCGUAGUUGGAUCUCAGCUCCGGCCGGACGGUCCGCCUACCGGUGGUUACUGUUCGUCGCCGAGCGUUCAGGCGGUUAUUCUUGAUGAUCUUCACCGGUUGUCUCGGGUGACCGCCAAGUUUACUUUGAAAAAAUUAGAGUGCUCAAAGCAGGCGCGACGCCUGAAUAAUUGUGCAUGGAAUAAUGGAAUAGGACCUCGGUUCUAUUUUGUUGGUUUUCGGAACACGAGGUAAUGAUUAAGAGGGACAGACGGGGGCAUUCGUAUUGCGACGCUAGAGGUGAAAUUCUUGGACCGUCGCAAGACGAACUACUGCGAAAGCAUUUGCCAAGAAUGUUUCCAUUAAUCAAGAACGAAAGUUAGAGGUUCGAAGGCGAUCAGAUACCGCCCUAGUUCUAACCAUAAACGAUGCCAGCCAGCAAUCCGCCUGUGUUCCUCAAAUGACACGGCGGGCGGCUUCCGGGAAACCAAAGCUUUUGGGUUCCGGGGGAAGUAUGGUUGCAAAGCUGAAACUUAAAGGAAUUGACGGAAGGGCACCACCAGAAAUGGAGCCUGCGGCUUAAUUUGACUCAACACGGGAAAACUUACCCGGCCCGGACACAGGAAGGAUUGACAGAUUAAGAGCUCUUUCUUGAUUCUGUGGGUGGUGGUGCAUGGCCGUUCUUAGUUGGUGGGGCGACUUGUCUGGUUAAUUCCGAUAACGAACGAGACUCUAGCCUACUAAAUAGACGUUCCGAUCCUCUUUCGUCGGACGUUCUUCUUAGAGGGACAAGCGGCGUUUAGCCGCACGAGACAGAGCAAUAACAGGUCUGGGAUGCCCUUAGAUGUCCGGGGCCGCACGCGCGCUACAUUGAAGGAAUCAGCGUGUGCUUUCCCUGUCCGACAGGACUGGGUAACCCGUUGAACCUCCUUCGUGCUGGGGAUUGGAGAUUGUAAUUGUCCUCCAUGAACGAGGAAUUCCCAGUAAGCACGAGUCAUCAGCUCGUGUUGAUUACGUCCCUGCCCUUUGUACACACCGCCCGUCGCUACUACCGAUUGAAUGAUUUAGUGAGGUCUUCGGACUGGCGCUCGGAUUGGCCUUCGCGGUCGAGCCGGUGUGCCGGAAAGAUGACCAAACUUGAUCAUUUAGAGGAAGUAAAAGUCGUAACAAGGUUUU